CCUUUUUUUUUUUUUUCUUCAAGAAAAAACAAGCUUCUUCCUUUUUGGUUGGUUUUUGCCUCUUAGAAUUUGGAAGAGAUGCCUAUUUGUGGGACAGGAGAACCUUUUCGCUGUUAUACUGUAUUCCUGUAUUCUCUAAUGAACACUCGUUACUUCUUUCUGCAGCAUGUGAAUGAAGUUUGGAUUACAAAGAGAGUUCUGGAUAUUUGGGGCCUUUUGCUUCAGCUGAUAAGGGGGGAAAGUUGAAGACUGACCUACCGCUUCAUUUGAAAGGGGAGAAAUAUCAAACACUGACCUGGAAUUGUUUGUCCAAGUACUUCCUCCUGAAAACUCUUCUGAAACAAUUAAUAGACAACUGAGAAGUGAAUUUGAAGUUUGAAGACUUGAGCUUUCUCAAGAAAAGAAGUGCAGAACGGCUCACCCUUGGACACUUUUGUGCACAUGACAUGGAUACAUGGCUAAAUCUAUCAAGUUCUGAAUACUUCUGCUGUCAAAGUCAAGUGCUUUUUUGCCUUUAGUUAGUUUUCUCUUCCAAGUCAAGUUCUGUUUGAGUCAUAGGCAUAGCUAGUUUUGUUAACUGCCUCCAGGUUAAAAGCAGCCUGAGUCACUGAGACGUGGUUGAGAAGUUUCAUGGCAGAUAUUUUUACUCUUACUUUAUUUCUUAGAUUUUCUGACAUAGCCUUUUCUCAUUUUACAAUGAAACCUGUUUUCUAAAUGAAGAGUCUAAUAGAAAAUUGUUUAUCAUUCUUUCUUUUAUAUUUUAUUUAAUAUUUUUGUUGAAAAAUGUUGCUACCAGUAAGCAACAUGGUGGUAUCCAGAUAGCUGUUGUUUACAGAUGCCUCUGUUAUCUGAAGCUAGGCAAUGUUCCUCAGUUCAGAUGUGAAAUUUGGAUUUUCAGCUUUACUAUUUGUGGCGUAAAAAGUAUAUUUAUUUCACCUGGAGUUGAUGCUUCUUAUAGUGAUAUUUACAUGGAAUAAAGAAGAGAAGAAACUUUGAGAGAAGAAAGAA
rnacentral:lncRNA from 1 species